AAUGAACGUUGGCGGCGUGGAUUAGGCAUGCAAGUCGUGCGGAAAGGCUCCUUCGGGAGUACUCGAGCGGCGAAAGGGAGAGUAACGCGUGGAUAUCUACCCCCUGGCCUGGGAUAGCGGCGAGAAACUGCCGGUAAUACCAGACAAUAUCUGCGGAUCAAAGGUGUGAUUCCGCCGGGGGAUGAGUCCGCGUCCUAUUAGCUAGUUGGUGAGGUAACGGCCCACCAAGGCUGAGAUGGGUACCGGGUGUGAGAGCAUGGCCCGGCUCACUGGGACUGAGACACUGCCCAGACAACUACGGGUGGCUGCAGUCGAGAAUCUUCGGCAAUGGGCGCAAGCCUGACCGAGCGACGCCGCGUGCGGGAUGAAGGCCUUCGGGUUGUAAACCGCUGUCAGAGGGGAGGAAAUGCAUGGGGGUUCUCCCUCAUGUUUGACCUAUCCUCAGAGGAAGUACGGGCUAAGUUCGUGCCAGCCGCCGCGGUAA
rnacentral:rRNA from 1 species